rnacentral:rRNA from 1 species
UUGAACGCUGGCGGCAGGCCUAACACAUGCAAGUCGAACGGUAACAGGAAGCAGCUUGCUGCUUCGCUGACGAGUGGCGGACGGGUGAGUAAUGUCUGGGAAACUGCCUGAUGGAGGGGGAUAACUACUGGAAACGGUAGCUAAUACCGCAUAACGUCGCAAGACCAAAGAGGGGGACCUUCGGGCCUCUUGCCAUCGGAUGUGCCCAGAUGGGAUUAGCUAGUAGGUGGGGUAACGGCUCACCUAGGCGACGAUCCCUAGCUGGUCUGAGAGGAUGACCAGCCACACUG